GCCCAGCUGCUCAAAAUUUAUAAGCCAGUGUGAACUGAGCAGCAUCAGACAGGCAGGGGGAGCAAGAUGGAUUCACAGGCUCAGUCCCUCAUGUUGCUGCUGCUGUUGGUGUCUGGUACCUGUGGGGACAUUGUGAUGACCCAGUCUCCAUCCUCCAUGGCUGUGUCAGUAGGAGAGAAGGUCACUAUGAACUGCAAGUCCAGUCAGAGCCUUUUAUCUAGUGCAAACCAAAAGAACUACUUGGCCUGGUACCAACAGAAACCAGGGCAAUCUCCUAAACUGCUGAUUUACUAUGCAUCCACUAAGGUAUCUGGGGUCCCUGAUCGCUUCACAGGCAGUGGAUCUGGGACAGACUUCACUCUCACCAUCAGCAGUGUGCAGACUGAAGACCUGGCAGAUUAUUACUGUGCACAGCAUUAUAGCACUCCUCCCACAGUGCUUCAGCCUGCUACACAAACCUCCUUGAGACAUCAGCUGCCUGUGCCACACAUAGCCCUGGGUCUACACACUUCCUUCUUCUGA